rfam:Planktothrix serta PCC 8927 isolate BBR_PRJEB10992 genome assembly, scaffold: BBR_A_PL8927_scaffold67
CAACAACCCGCCGUUAAAUCGGGGUACCGAUUUUAACGGGGGCUUGAAAUCAAGCCCAAGUUGACCAGACUGUGUACCAAUCAUGUACUCCGUUAGUGGCAAGCGUUAAAAGUCUUACCUACGGAUGCGAAGCUAGUCUGUAGCUCUAAAACUCAAAAGUUAAACAUCUUUAAAUGGGUUAAGGAAGUGCUUUUGAGAAAGUACCGACCACUAACAUUGUCGUUCGCGCAGCGUGUGCGAAGCACUCAGCUAACUUUAC